GUGCCAGCCGCCGCGGUAAUACGUAGGGGGCGAGCGUUAUCCGGAAUUAUUGGGCGUAAAGCGCGCGCAGGCGGCCGAUUAAGUCAGGUGUGAAAGGCUGCGGCUCAACCGCAGAGCGGCACCUGAAACUGGUCGGCUUGAGUGCAGGAGAGGGGAGUGGAAUUCCCGGUGUAGCGGUGGAAUGCGUAGAGAUCGGGAGGAACACCAGUGGCGAAGGCGGCUCUCUGGCCUGUAACUGACGCUGAGGCGCGAAAGCGUGGGGGAGCAAACAGGAUUAGAUACCCUGGUAGGCCCACGCCGUAAACGAUGAGUGCUAGGUGUGGGGGGGUCCCCCUCUCAGUGCCGAAGGUAACCCAUUAAGCACUCCGGCCUGGGGGAGUACGGCCGCAAGGCUGAAAACCUCAAAGGAAUUGACGGGGGGCCCGCACAAGGCGGGUGGGAGCCAUGUGGUUUAAUUCCGAAGCAAACGCGAAAGAACCUUUACCCAGGGCUUGACAUCCCGCGCUUGAACGCGCUUCCAGAAGAUGGGGGCUUUCCUCUUUCCGGGGCAGCGGGUGACAGGGUGGGUGCAUGUUUGUCGUCAGGCUCGGUGUCGGUGAGAUGUUGGGGUUCCAGUCCCGCAACGAGCGCAACCCUUUAUCGCCAGUUGCCAGCAUUUCGAAUGGGCACUCUGGCGAGACAGCCGGUGAAGCCGGAGAGGUGGGGAUGACGUCAAUCAUCAUGCCCUUAUGUCUGGGCUACACACGUGCUACAUGCCAGUACAAGGAGCGACCGCGAGGGAGCAUCCAAAACUGUCUCAGUCGGUCGAGCUGCACUCGCUGCUGAGCGGAUCGCUAGUAUCGCGAUCA
rnacentral:rRNA from 1 species